rnacentral:rRNA from 1 species
AACGAACGCUGGCGGCAUGCCUAACACAUGCAAGUCGAACGAGACCUUCGGGUCUAGUGGCGCACGGGUGCGUACCGCGUGGGAACCUGCCCUUAGGUUCGGAAUAACUCCCCGAAAGGUGUGCUAAUACCGGAUAAUGUCUUCGGACCAAAGAUUUAUCGCCUUUGGAUGGGCCCGCGUUGGAUUAGCUAGUUGGUAGGGUAAAAGCCUACCAAGGCGACGAUCCAUAGCUGGUCUGAGAGGAUGAUCAGCCACACUGGGACUGAGACACGGCCCAGACUCCUACGGGAGGCAGCAGUGGGGAAUAUUGGACAAUGGGCGAAAGCCUGACCCAGCAAUGCCGCGUGAGUGAUGAAGGCCUUAGGGUUGUAAAGCUCUUUUACCCGGGAUGAUAAUGACAGUACCGGGAGAAUAAGCUCCGGCUAACUCCGUG